GAUGAACGCUGGCUACAGGCUUAACACAUGCAAGUCGAGGGGAAACGACGGGGAAGCUUGCUUCCCCGGGCGUCGACCGGCGCACGGGUGAGUAACGCGUAUCCAACCCGCCUCUGACUGAGGGAUAACCCGUCGAAAGUCGGCCUAAUACCUCAUGGCAUCGUCUGCGGGCAUCCAACGACGAUUAAAGAUUUCAUCGGUCAGGGAUGGGGAUGCGUCUGAUUAGCUUGUUGGCGGGGUAACGGCCCACCAAGGCUACGAUCAGUAGGGGUUCUGAGAGGAAGGUCCCCCACAUUGGAACUGAGACACGGUCCAAACUCCUACGGGAGGCAGCAGUGAGGAAUAUUGGUCAAUGGGCGGGAGCCUGAACCAGCCAAGUAGCGUGCAGGAGGACGGCCCUAUGGGUUGUAAACUGCUUUUAUGCGGGGAUAAAGUGAGGGACGUGUCCUUCAUUGCAGGUACCGCAUGAAUAAGGACCGGCUAAUUCCGUG
rnacentral:rRNA from 1 species